GGAGCCAUCUUGGGACUGCCGCCACACCCUCUCCCACAUCCUUUGUGACUGUAUAGCUCAGAAUGGCUCCCUACACUUAAUAAUAUAUGUUGAACACAAAAAUGAAUUGGUCAUGUAUCUCCUGAAUACAUAUUGCCUUCCAUACAUGAUCAUGGCUACGGAAGACUCCAAGAUGAAGAAAUUGUGGUCCUCACUCUUGAAAGCACAUAAUCGGCAGAUGUGAGCUUAACCUUACCAAGAUAAAUGAGUAGGUUUGAGUGUUUCAAGACCUUUUGAACAGGGUUUUGUGUAACCAAGAAUGGCUUUGACCUAACGCCUAUGUACCCAAGGAUGGCCUAUAACUCCUGACUCUCUUACCUUCACCUCACACUCACUGGAGCAUUGUAAGCAUAUGCCUCUAUAACCAGCUUAGCACAAAAAAUUAUACACGAAGUUAUUUUGCAUUUAUUUUCCAUUUUUAUAACACAUUCAAGCCUGAUAUACUUUGAAACAAAUUUCCGUUCAUUUCUGGUCAUUUAUGUUAAAGGUCACAAUGACUAAUUUGAGGACCUAAUCAAACCUACACAAGCUCUACAUUUUUCUCUACUUUUCAAAGUAGUUUUUAAAAAAUGUUAAAAGAGUGACAAUAUUUGUGCUAUGAAAAGCUUAUGUGAAAUUGGGAUUUUAGUGUCCAUAACUAACAUAACCACAGUGACAUCCACCCUUGCUGUCCCAAGUGAGAACAUUUAUUCUUAAAGGCCAAAAAAUAUCCCACUAUGUCUGUAACAGUCCCCUAUAAAUCCUUCUGUCAACGGACAUUUGGGUUAAUUCCACACUUCUGCUAUUGUGAGUAACACCACAAUGAACACAGAGGUGAAGAUGUAUCUUAAAAUUGCUGAUUCCAAAUCUCCAAGCAUGAUUUCUAGGUCAUAUUGUAAUUCUGUUCUCAGGGUUUGGUUUCCAAAGAACCUGCUUUCAGAUGGAUGUGUGCCUAUAAUAGCAGUGCUUGGGAGGUAGAUGCAAGAAGAAUAGUUCAGAAUCAUCCUUGCUUCAGACCAAGGCUGAAGAAUAAAAUGAAAGAAAGCCUCAUAUGAGUCCUAUGGUGGUUGCACUAAUAAACAUUAUUAUCAGGACAUUACUCAGUUUUGUUAUUCUUCCAAUAUUACCAGACUAUUAAUAGAACAUUCAAAAAUGUAGCUGCAUCUAAACUUCAAUAUUUCCAAUAUUUUGAAUGUGUGUUUGACAAGAGAGAGAGAGAGCAGUGAGAAUGUUUUAUUCAACUGUUGAUGUGGAACCUUAAGUGUUUAGAUACAGGAAAGGUAGAGCUGAUUUGUACACAUGCCCGGGACUCUGCAAAUCAGAAGACCUGAAAGAAAGCAAACAGAAAAGUGGGAGGGGCUGAGGAGGUGAUGGGCAGGCAAAAACACAUUUAACUGAAGACUUUUAAGAGAGAAGAGAGAAAGAAGAAGGCAGGCAAAUGCAUAGAAAAGGACUGAGUAAAUUAGGGUCCCUGGAAGCAAAGUGGCUCUUAAGAAAGCUGCAUUUCCCACGUGUCAGAGAGAGGCAUGUAGAAGCACAGGAGGAUUAAUUGUCAUACUGUUACAUGCCGACACGACUGCUGUGUCAAUGUGUGUAUCAAACCAAUAGAAUACAAUUGUGCAUUCCAACAUGGUGGUGAGUUAUCACAUGUGACUUUUGAAUACUUCAGCUAUGGCUUGUCUACACUGACAUGUGCUCUAGGUAUGCAAGACUCAUUGGAUUUUGAACACUUACUAUGAAAAAAAAAAAGACUUUUCACUCUAAAUUACAUCUUCACUAAUUAUAUAUUUAAGAGUAAUAUUCUACUAUAUGCCGCUAAAUUAUAUAAAAGUUAUUAAAAUUAAUUUGCUCUCUCUAUUUAGAUUUUCAUAUGUGGCUACUGAACAUUUUCAAACCUUCAUGUGGCUCCUCUCUCAUUUCUGCGGCAAAGUGCUGCAUAGAAAAAGUGAGCAUCCUCAAGAGAGUUCAAGUAUGAAGCAGAUGAAUAAAGUCUUUAAUGGCAGAUAAUCAUGGCAUAAACAUUGGCAAAUCCAGGCACAGUGCCUUGGGGGCAUCCCUCAAGAGGAUUGGUACAUCCCACAGCAAUGUGGGGCUGCAUCAGAUUGUCCAAAGACAAUACUUCUUCAAAUCGAGCAGAUUUCAUGGAGAGAGUACAUACACCAUAGCACAGUAAUUUGAAAUAAUUUUAGUACUAGAAAAUUCCUAGUUUGGUACAUUAAAACAGGAUGAGUUUGAUGGAAUGGGGAAAAUACACUAUGGAGGUUGACAGAACCCACAGAGGUAGACUUUGAAAGUAAGCCAAAGUAUUUAAGAAAAACUUAGGCUAAGUUUAAAUCUGGUUUGACAUAAAACGGGGGAGCUGUUUAAUGAUGUUAAGAAAAAAUAAACUUUGAUGUGAUUCUUCUUCCACAUGGUUUGAAAUGUGACCAACAAUUCUCUCACAAUUCUCUCAUGACUAGACCAAUUGACAACUAGCUCACCAGAAGAGAAAUACCAAGGCAUUGCUGUGCAGUGUUUCGCUAUAGGGGGAUUACUUAGAAAGUCGCUGAAAGCUGCAUACAUAUAAAAAAACUUUUCUGGAGGAUGCAAAAGUGGCAUAGACAGAGACGUAUGACCCAUACAAAAAUGAGGCAACAGGAGGUGCAAUGCGCAUGCCUCACAGGCUUCACCAGAAGUCGCCCUAGUAACAAGGAUUUUCUAAGGAACUCACAUUUCUGGGCCGGUCCCACACUUCCUCAUCCUGACGAAGUUACUGGCUCCCGCCUCCAAAAUCAUCUGCCAAAACCAGUGGCCACCUGAUUCCCUGGAAAAACCUUCAGCUUUACCCUUUGUCUGGGAACCACUUUAUUUUUCUAUAGAAAGAGUGCAGGAGCUCCCAGUUUGGUGCCUUGUUUGAUUUGUUAGUUCUUCCCUCAGACCCAAGGUGAAGGAAAUGAGAUUUUGAAAGAACUCUUACUAAGAGCCUCAAGGUCUCCUAGGUGGGCACCUGCCAUUCUCUUUCAUCUUUUCCAAGUGCCAAAUUUGCAAUUUUGCCUGAAUCACCUCCCACUCUGCGCCUCUCUAGGCCUGUACUACCAGUGUGCACCGCCUGCCUGCGGGUUCUGUGCUACCCCUGAGCUCAUGCACCAUCAUUUAUGGACCUAGCUCUUGCUAUUUCUAUUCCCGCUGAAAUUUAGACUCAACGCUAAUGUUGCUAUCUGAGAGGAGGACAUUUAUGAAAGAGUCAGGAGAGUACGGCAAUCAUUAAAAAGUGUUUGACACAUAUUGUUCUUAGGGGUGGCCACUGAUUAGUUUUAUGAACUUGUGUUUUCUCAUCAGAGGCUAACUACUCCGUAGUAAUAUAUCAAAGUUAAGUCUUCAAAGUUGUCUAAAAUUCUUCAAUUCUUUAUUCUUCUUCAGAGCCUUAACUCGAGUGACUAAGAAGCAGUCUUGCUUACUGGGGUUUGGAGGUAAACAAGCCACUUGGUUAGCUGGCUUGAAGAAAGUGGAAUGAAGAGUUCUGAAAGACACCUGUGUCAUCCAAAUAACCCAUUCUCUGUACACACCCAGCACUUACCUGAUCUCAAGCUGGACAACUCCAAUUUGUCCCCAAAGAGAAUCCUACUCUCCAGUCACCAAAGAACAGAAGGGCUAGCUCAUGUUCUGCCAACGUUUCUUCCUGGACACGCCCUGCCUAUGUCUUUGGCUUUCACCAGUCAAGCACACAAUCUGCUUUUCGUUUUUGUUUUCAGUUAGUUCCUGAUCGUCUACAGACCUAUGUCCAUAAAAUAUUGGAAGUAAGGGGGAAAAUGCCUAGCCACAGUCUACAACUUUGUUUCAACUUACGCAGGCAGGAAGGCAGGUAAUUGAAAAUGAGGCUGAGAGUCUUAGCCAUUAGCCAGCAUCUGGCUACUGACACCUAAACGCAGCCUUUCAAGAGGGCUUAACGUCCUGAAAGUCAGUACCUCUAAAGUCAUGGAGCUGAUUAAUAAUGCCCCUGCCUGAGUCGGAAUUCCUGCUGAGGCUCUUGCUGGUGGUUGAAGAGUCUUCCUGCAGCUUUCAUAAAUUAGUUGAUAACUGAA
rnacentral:sRNA from 1 species